rnacentral:rRNA from 1 species
UGCGUAGGUGGCGUCGUAAGUCGGGUGUGAAAUCUCGGGGCUUAACUCCGAAACUGCAUUCGAUACUGCGGUGCUUGAGGACUGGAGAGGAGACUGGAAUUUACGGUGUAGCAGUGAAAUGCGUAGAGAUCGUAAGGAAGACCAGUGGCGAAGGCGGGUCUCUGGACAGUUCCUGACGCUGAGGCACGAAGGCCAGGGAGCAAACG